AUGUUGCUCUCUCCCCCCUGCGAAACCCUAGCCGCAUCUCCUUCCUCUCCCUCGUGCCACGAUCUCCUCUGCUUGCACCGCCCGAGUGACACCGCCGCCAUGCCGCCUCCACAGACGCCCCCACCGGCCUCCCCAAGCCCUGAGACAGCGACCAGGAGGACAACCACCAUCGAAUUCGUCCAUCCCGAGCAUCAAAUCGAGCGGAGCUGCACCGAAUCGCCGCCAUCGAGUUCGUCUUCGACAUCCUGCACCGCCGGCCGCCAUCGUCGAUUCGCUCGACCCCGACCGUCCCCGGCCUCCCCAACCACGUCCGUGGCUCCUUGA
rnacentral:rRNA from 1 species